rnacentral:rRNA from 1 species
AGUGAACGCUGGCGGCGUGCCUAAUACAUGCAAGUCGAACGGAGUGGCGCACGGGUGAGUAAUAUAUAGCUACUCUGCCCCUUGCUGGAGGACAACAGUUAGAAAUGACUGCUAAUACUCCAUAGCAAGGGAUGAGACUAUAUCGUAUCAGCUAGUCGGUGGGGUAACGGCCUACCGAGGCUAUGACGCGUAACUGGUCUGAGAGGAUGAUCAGUCGAAUUGGAACGGAGACACCGUCCGGACUCCUACGGGAGGCAACAGUAGGGGAUAGUGCGCAAUGGGGGAAACCCUGACGCAGCAACGCCGCGUGGAGGAUGGCACUUUGCGAAGCGUAAACUCCUUUUGUUAGGGAAGCGGUACCUAACGAAUAAGCACCGGCUAACUCCGUGCCAGCCGCCGCGGUAAUAC